rnacentral:miRNA from 1 species
ACAUAGAUGGCCAGACGUUACA